CGGCCUCACCAGGGGGGUCCCGACAAGGGGCUGAGAUACUGCUGGCUCGCGCAGCGCAGUGACCCGUUGAACCUGAUCCAGUUCACACUGGCGUAGGGACGGUGCGAGGCGCUGCAG
rnacentral:ncRNA from 2 species